rnacentral:tRNA from 1 species
CAAAUUAGAGCUUGUUAAAGUAUUUCAUUUACAUUGAAAAGAAAUUAAAAUUUAAUUA